rnacentral:rRNA from 1 species
CUGGGCUAGAAUGCCUCAGACAACCCUAGAGAUAGGGCUUCCUAGGGAAACCUAGGCAGAGUGCAAGGUGCUGCAUGGCUGUCGUCAGCUCGUGUCGUGAGAUGUUGGGUUAAGUCCCGCAACGAGCGCAACCCUUAUCGAUAGUUGCUAGCGGUUCGGCCGAGCACUCUAUUGAGACUGCCGUUGACAAAACGGAGGAAGGUGGGGAUGACGUCAAGUCCUCAUGGCCCUUACGGGGUGGGCUACACACGUGCUACAAUGGCGACUACAGAGGGUUGCAACCCUGCGAAGGUGAGCUAAUCCCUAAAAGUCGUCUCAGUUCGGAUUGCACUCUGCAACUCGAGUGCAUGAAGUCGGAAUCGCUAGUAAUCGCGGAUCAGCAUGCCGCGGUGAAUACG